UAUCUCUGUAGAGUCUGCAUAUCAAUAAGCGGAGGAAAAGAAACUAACAAGGAUUCCCUAGUAACGGCGAGUGAAGCGGGAAGAGCUCAAAUUUGAAAUCUUCAAGGUUUGACCUUGACGAAUUGUAGUUUAAAGAAGUGUUUUCGGUUAGAGGAGUAGUAAAAGUUCUUUGGAAUAGGACAUCAUAGAGGGUGAGAAUCCCGUAUUUGACUAUUCUUUCUAGCUUUGUGAUACACUUUCAAAGAGUCGGAUUGUUUGGGAAUGCAGGUCCAAAAUGGGUGGUAAAUUUCAUCUAAAGCUAAAUAUUGGCGAGAGACCGAUAGCGAACAAGUACCGUGAGGGACAGAUGAAAAGAACUUUGAAAAGAGAGUUAAACAGUACGUGAAAUUGUCAAAAGGGAAGCGUUUGACACCAGUGUUGUUUUUCCGAAAAUCAAUUACGAAUGUUUUGUUUUUGAGGAGUUAUGACUUCAUCGGCUUGCUCCUUUCUUUACGAAACUUUCUUAAUGCACUUUUCGGUUAACAAGUCAACAUCAAUUUCUUUUGUUGUAAAAGGGUAUGAGGAAGGUGGCUUUCUUUUCGGAGAAAGUGUUUAUAGCCUUGUACCUCUGCAAUCGGAGAGAUUGAGGUCUGCAGCGUAGAUCCUUCGGGGUUAGAUACAUUUGUGCUAAGUUAUAGCUUUUCAUUGACAACUUGUUGACUAUGUUUAGUCUUGUAGCUUACUCGCUUAUGCUAUUUUACCUACGCUUAGGAUGUUGAAGACUCUACAGAGAUA
rnacentral:rRNA from 1 species